UUGGUACAAAAGAAAUAAAAACCUAUUUCAUACAAAAAUAUAUUAAAAACAAGUGCUAAAUAGAAGAAUCAUUGAAAAUAAUAAAAAAGUGCAAAAUAGUGUCAAAAGGAAAUAAUAUAAAUUUCCCCAUUAAUCACCAACCUUUUCAAACACUUCAAAAAGAAGCAAAAAAAAAAAUAAGAAACGGACUUACAUAAAGGCAUUUCCAAUUAAAUAGACAUUUAAAUGGACUUUCGUAAAUAGCUAAUACAAGUGUUCCCCAAUAAUUCCCAAGGAUUCAAGUAAAUUCCUUUUACUUUAGAGUCCCUUCAUAUGAAUAAUUACCAACCAAAAAAUAAAACUAAAAUUAUUUAUUUCAUUACUCUCACAUAAGCAAAACAAUGCAAUUGUUAAUUUAUAUUGUUGUUGUUUUGUCUUCUCAUUUUAUAUAUUUAACAUAAAAAUUGUUUUAAACAUUUUAUUAUUAACUAAUAUUUUAAUACUUUAAUAUUAUUGUCUUUCAGACCUUUAGUAGAAACAAAAAAGAAAACACUUCCAAGCAUGCAGUCAGUUUUGUUUGCUUAGCCUGUCAAGAUUGCUGUUUUCCAUUCCAAUGACUCAUUACUCCUCUCUCUCUCUCUCGCUCUCUCACUCUCUCUCUCUUACUGUACUCUCAGAGGGGGAAACACAGGCAGUUUUGUAGUAAAAUUUUGUGUAAUAAAUCAAAUAAAUUUAAAGAACUCAACAAUUACCAUCAACCAACCAACAAACCAACCAACCAACAUAACAAUAAUUAAUAAUUUUUCACCUGUAAAAGUGCAAUUAUAAAAAGGUGAAAUUGUAAAAUGGGUUAAUGUGUCCAGUACAAUGUAUAUCUCAAGCCAUUUAAAUGGAAACUUCUUCUACCUACAGAAUGAACAUAAAAUCCUGCAGACUACCAACAUCUACCAAAUAUGGAAACUAAUGGAAGCGGAUUUUUAAAUGGAUGUAAUAAUUUUUAUAUAAUUUAUUUUAUACAACUUAAAUUAUGUUUAAUAACGCCAAAUAAUUUUAUAUCAAUAAAAAAAUUUGUAAUUAAAAAAAACAAA